UACGUAGGGGGCAAGCGUUGUCCGGAAUCAUUGGGCGUAAAGAGCGUGUAGGCGGCUUGGUAAGUCCGCUGUGAAAGUCCAGGGCUCAACCCUGGAAAGCCGGUGGAAACUGUCAAGCUUGAGUCCGGAAGAGGCGAGUGGAAUUCCUGGUGUAGCGGUGAAAUGCGCAGGAUAUCAGGAGGAACACCAAUGGCGAAGGCAGCUCGCUGGGACGGUACUGACGCUGAGACGCGAAAGCGUGGGAGG
rnacentral:rRNA from 1 species